GUGUGAAGGAGGGGAGAGGGCGGGACACGACUUGUCGAGGCUGCUCUGCUCACCCAGGCAGCUCCAGGCGCUGACAGACCCUCUCCAAACACGCAAACACCAGUUGCGCCCUGUUCCCAGGAUUUAUACUGAUAUGAGACAGAAAUUGAAUGAACAUGUAUUCCAGCUAGCAAUAAAAGAGUGAAAGCAGACAUGUCACUGCUUGCUUCAGCUCCAGGCUCAAAAUAUAAGUAUUUUGCCUGUAUAGUUUUUACUGCUGCCUUUGCUGUGAACCAAUGCAAGAC